rnacentral:rRNA from 1 species
UACGUAGGGUGCAAGCGUUUGUUCGGAAUCAUUGGGCGUAAAGCGCGUGUAGGUGGUUAAUUAAGUCGAUUGUGAAAGCCCUCGGCUCAACCGAGGAAGUGCAGUCGAAACUGACUAGCUAGAGGACGGCAGAGGAAGGUGGAAUUCCAAGUGUAGAGGUGAAAUUCGUAGAUAUUUGGAGGAAUACCUGUGGCGAAGGCGGCCUUCUGGACCGGUCCUGACACUGAGACGCGAAAGCGUGGGGAGCAAACAGG